CACACACCUUAUAUGGUUUAUUUACUAGUUCCUUAUUUGGGUUGUAGUUAGGUUGUUUGUGUUGUGUUACAGGUUGUAGUUAGAUUGUUUGUUGUUGUUUGUGUUGUAGUUAGGUUAUUUGUAUUGUAGUUAGGUUGUUUGUGUUGUAGUUAGGUUGUUUGUGUUGUAGUUAGGUUGUUUGUAUUGUAGUUAGGUUGUUUGUAUUGUGUUACAGGUUGUAGUUAGGUUGUUUGUGUUGUAGUUAGGUUGUUUGUGUUGUGUUACAGGUUGUAGUUAGGUUGUUUGUGUUGUAGUUAGGUUGUUUGUGUUGUAGUUAGGUUGUUUGUGUUGUAGUUAGGUUAUUUGUAUUGUAGUUAGGUUGUUUGUGUUGUAGUUAGGUUAUUUGUAUUGUAGUUAGGUUGUUUGUAUUGUAGUUACGUUGUUUGUGUUGUGUUACAGGUUGUAGUUCGGUUGUUUGUGUUGUAGUUAGGUUGUUUGUGUUGUAGUUAGGUUAUUUGUAUUGUAGUUAGGUUAUUUAUAUUGUAGUUACGUUAUUUGUGUUGUAGUUAGGUUGUUUGUAUUGUAGUUAGGUUGUUUGUGUUGUAGUUAGGUUGUUUGUGUUGUAGUUAGGUUGUUUGUGUUGUAGUUAGGUUGUUUGUAUUGUAGUUAGGUUGUUUGUGUUGUAGUUAGGUUAUUUGUAUUGUAGUUAGGUUAUUUGUAUUGUAGUUAGGUUAUUUGUGUUGUAGUUAGGUUAUUUGUAUUGUAGUUAGGUUGUUUGUAUUGUAGUUAGGUUGUUUGUGUUGUAGUUAGGUUGUUUGUAUUGUAGUUAGGUUAUUUGUAUUGUAGUUAGGUUGUUUGUAUUGUAGUUAGGUUGUUUGUGUUGUAGUUAGGUUGUUUGUGUUGUAGUUAGGUUGUUUGUAUUGUAGUUAGGUUGUUUGUGUUGUAGUUAGGUUGUUUGUGUUGUAGUUAGAUUGUAGUUAGGUUGUUUGUGUUGUGUUACAGGUUGUAGUUAGGUUGUUUGUGUUGUAGUUAGGUUGUUUGUGUUGUAGUUAGGUUAUUUGUAUUGUAGUUAGGUUGUUUGUGUUGUGUUACAGGUUGUAGUUAGGUUGUUUGUGUUGUAGUUAGGUUGUUUGUGUUGUAGUUAGGUUGUAGUUAGGUUGUUUGUGUUGUAGUUAUGUUGUAGUUAGGUUGUUUGUGUUGUGUUACAGGUUGUAGUUAGGUUGUUUGUGUUGUAGUUAGGUUGUUUGUGUUGUGUUACAGGUUGUAGUUAGGUUGUUUGUGUUGUAGUUAGGUUGUUUGUGUUUUAGUUAGGUUGUAGUUAGGUUGUUUGUGUUGUAGUUAGGUUGUUUGUGUUGUGUUACAGGUUGUAGUUAGGUUGUUUGUGUUGUAGUUAGGUUGUUUGUGUUUUAGUUAGGUUGUAGUUAGGUUGUUUGUGUUGUAGUUAUGUUGUAGUUAGGUUGUUUGUGUUGUGUUACAGGUUGUAGUUAGGUUGUUUGUGUUGUGU